rnacentral:rRNA from 1 species
UACGUAGGGGGCUAGCGUUGUCCGGAAUCAUUGGGCGUAAAGCGCGUGUAGGCGGUCCGGUAAGUCCGCUGUGAAAGUCGGGGGCUCAACCCUCGAAUGCCGGUGGAUACUGUCGGGCUAGAGUGCGGAAGAGGCGAGUGGAAUUCCUGGUGUAGCGGUGAAAUGCGCAGAUAUCAGGAGGAACACCCAUUGCGAAGGCAGCUCGCUGGGACGUAACUGACGCUGAGACGCGAAAGCGUGGGGAGCAAACAGG